GACGAACGCUGGCGGCGUGCUUAACACAUGCAAGUCGAACGAUGAAGAAAAGAAUUGAAGCUUCGGCAGAAAUUCAUUUCGGAUUAGUGGCAGACGGGUGAGUAACGCGUGAGCAACCUACCUCUUACAAAGGGAUAGCCUCGGGAAACCGGGAUUAAUACCAUAUAACAUUGCGACGAAGCAUUUCGAUGCAAUCAAAGCUACGGCGGUAAGAGAUGGGCUCGCGUCCCAUUAACCAGAUGGUGAGGUAACGGCUCACCAUAGUAACGAUGGGUAACCGGCCUGAGAGAGUGAACGGUCACACUGGAACUGAGACACGGUCCAGACUCCUACGGGAGGCAGCAGUGGGGAAUAUUGCACAAUGGAGGGAACUCUGAUGCAGCGACGCCGCGUGAGUGAUGAAGGAAUUCGUUUCGUAAAACUCUGUUCUAUGGGAAGAAAAGGACUGUACCAUAGGAGAAAGCUCCGGCUAAAUACGUG
rnacentral:rRNA from 1 species